UACAGAGGUGGCGAGCGUUGUUCGGAUUUACUGGGCGUAAAGGGCGCGUAGGUGGUUUCGUAUGUCGGAUGUGAAAUCUCACUGCUCAACGGUGAAACUGCAUUCGAAACUACGAGACUAGAGUGCAGGAGAGGAGAGCGGAAUUCUUGGUGUAGCAGUGAAAUGCGUUGAUAUCAAGAAGAACACCGGUGGCGAAGGCGGCUCUCUGGAAUGCUACUGACACUGAGGCACGAAAGUUGGGGGAG
rnacentral:rRNA from 1 species